AGAGCAGCGGUAGCUCGUCGGGCUCAUAACCCGAAGGUCGGAGGUUCGAUCCCUUCCCUCG
rnacentral:tRNA from 1 species